GUACGGGACUUGGGGGCAACUCCAAGUUCAGUGGCAGACGGGUGCGUAACACGUGAAGAACUUGUCCGGUGGCGGGGGAUAGCCGGCCCAACGGCCGGGUAAUACCGCAUACGAUCGCGCGGGGGCAUCUCUGCGCGAGGAAAGCAGCCGCAAGGUUGCGCCGACGGAGAGCUUCGCGGCCUAUCAGCUAGUUGGCGGGGUAAUGGCCCACCAAGGCGACGACGGGUAGCUGGUCUGAGAGGAUGAUCAGCCACAUUGGGACUGAGACACGGCCCAGACUCCUACGGGAGGCAGCAGUGGGGAAUAUUGCGCAAUGGCCGCAAGGCUGACGCAGCGACGCCGCGUGUGGGAUGACGGUCUUCGGAUUGUAAACCACUGUCAGGGGGAACGAAUACAGGGCGUCGAAUAGGCGACCCUGGGUGACGGUACCUCCAAAGGAAGCACCGGCUAACUCCGUG
rnacentral:rRNA from 1 species